ACCACUGAGGCCCCAUCAGGGACGCCCUUAUCUCGGACAAAGGAAGAGAGAGCCCGGCAGCUGGAACCCCUGCUUUGCCCGGCUCUGCGAGGAACCUUCACCAUCGUAAUCCUCCUCCUGACCUUUGGCCCCUGCAUCCUGAAUGCCCUCAGCAGCUUCGGGAAGGGCCGCCUGAAUACCAUUCAGGUGCUAGUUCUUCAGCGCCAGCGCCAGGCAUUUCCCCUGAGUCCUAGAGGAAAAGGGUGCCCCGGGGAGGGUGGCCAGGCCGACCCUGCCCACAAGCCACAGACCUGUGUGUACUCCAGAUAAGGCCCCUGCAAGCCGUGGUGCGAAUGCCAGAUCAGACUUGUACACAAGCCACCCAGCGCCGGGGCACCAGGCCCCCUCAGUGAUAAACACCUUUGCUCCAAGCCUGCUGGGAACUACAUAAAGACUGUUGCACACCCAGCCAGGGGGAGACCUCCUUCCGGUCCCUCCCCCCCGUGGGAACGUGUGUAGCCAAAUAAAGCUCUGCUCUCUGUGUCCCUUACGUCGUCUGUCUGGUGUCCUCGGGCUCACCCCAAAACGGACCCGUAACAGAGCCCACAGACUGUUUUCUCCAUUUUGGUCUUUGCAGUGAUCGAUCAUGUCUCAGGAGCAGCAGCUCCACGUAAAGACCCCCCUCAGGGACAGCAUGGCCCUGUCCAAGGUGGUGGGCACCACUGUUUACCUCAAGAUGGAGACCGCCCAGCCCUCGGGGUCUUUUAAGAUCCGGGGCAUCGGACACCUGUGCAAGACGUGUGGCUAAAGCCCUUGGGGUGAACACUGUUGGAGCUCAGACUCUGAAGCUCUCCCAGGAACACCCUGUCUUCUCUGAAGUGAUCACAGACCAAGAAGCAGUCAGUGCCCUGGAGAAGUUCGUAGAUGAUGAGAAGGUGCUGGUGGAGCCAGCCUGUGGGGCAGCCCUGGCUGCAAUCUACAGCAAAGUAGUACAAAAGCUCCAGGCUGAAGGGAAGCUCCCUGCCAAGCUGAGCAGUGUGGUGGUCAUCGUGUGUGGUGGGAGCAACAUCAGCUUGGAUCAGCUGCAAGAGCUCAAAAGGCAGCUGGGAAUGAAGACCGGCUGAGCCCACUCCCAUAGACCUCCUCCGGGACCCCCGCCAAGCACCCCUUCUUGGGACUGGAGUUUUAUCCAGUGCCUUAUUCUGUUAUUAUCGUUCUUCUUCUUCUUCUAUUGUGGUUGUUAGAGGGGACAUCUAUGUGGGGGUCUGGGCUAGGGAGAUGGCCUCCAGCCUCUUGGGACCCCCAGGCUUUACAGGGGGUACGGGGACACUCUGGCCCUCUCCUGGGACUCCUCCUACUUAGCCCCACUGGAAUCCAGCCCUUCCACCAGCCCACAUUAACUUGGGAAGCCCAGAGAUAAAAGAUGAGCUGGGUGGGAGGCGAGUGACUCAGAUAGGUGAGGGGGCUUUCAUGUGGGAUCCUUGUCUCUGAUUCAGAUUAAAAAGAGGGGCUUCAGGGUUGGAAAGGUCAAGUUUGGACAGGGGGGUGAGGAGCAUUGGGUUUCUCUUGUUUCUGCCAGGGUUCUUAAAGCACUUUGACCCCAGGAAGGAAUUUCCCAAAUCAGUGGCAGAUGCCGAGGCAAGUGCCCCCCCUCACUCUAGCUGGGUCUCACCAUCCCAAAGGGGGCAGCUGCGGGCUAUAGGAGAUCCCACUUCCUGCAGGGGACAGCGUUGGCCAGCAGGGGACACUGUGGCGCCACCUACCAAUGGGAUAAGAAGCAUUGGCUGAAGGAUGCCACACUCAAGCUAAGGAUUGUGGGAAACUCUCAGUGGGGCUUGCUACUCAAGUUGAAUAAACAUUAACCAUAAUAGAGACCUGACAUCCCAGCCAGGAAGACCUGGUUUCAAAUCCCGACUGACCUCUGCUGCCUAAAUGAAUCUCAGGGAAGGUGCACACUUGUAUUGGCCAUUGAAAUACCAAUGGAAUCACAGGUCCAGUCUCUAUCCCCCUACCCUCUAUAUAGUCUUGCUGAUAA